rnacentral:rRNA from 1 species
GCUUACGGCCAUACCACCUUAGGCACGCCCGAUCUCGUCUGAUCUCGGAAGCUAAGCAGGGUCGGGCCUGGUUAGUACUAGGGAUGGGUGACCGCCUGGGAAUACCAGGUGCUGUAAGCA